UUGCAUUCCAUGUGUUUGCAUUUUCUUUGUGUCUCUAGAAGCACAAAUUCUUUGUUCUCAAGCACUUGUAAGUAAGUAGAUUUGUUUACUGGAUUAAGUUAUUGAUUACUUAACAGUGUGAUAGGUUGCUGUGGAACAAAUAUGUCUUUAAAUCUCAGCAACUGCAAACUAGUCUGUCAUUCUUAACAGGAAGUGCUGCUUUCAGGCAGCAAUGAAAUACUGAAGAACUGUGCCAAUGGGAGAACAAAGUGACCCCUUGCAAGUGCUCAUGAGAAAAAAUGCUCUUUUGCUUGCAUUUUCAAAGGCAGUUCUGGAAGCUGGAUAAUCGAUUCUCAGCGAAGUGUAAUGUUCAUUGGACUGUGAAUUCAUUUAGCUGUCUUUGAAAAUCUCUUCAGGCUUCGUACCAUAUGGUUUAGUUGAUAAGAUCAGUACACUAGGCAAUCUUUUGAUACGUCCCCUGUCAUUUAAUCAGCAGGGUGUGAUUUCAAGAGCUCAAGGGACCAGAGCCUGAGAAUAGUCUUAUCCUCAUCUUGCUGAUUUCCUGAAACGCACUUUUGCAAUGGUUCAACACUUCAAUGCUUUAAAGUUUCUCGUGGAUAAUGACUGUUGAAUGAAUGUCUUGCCUUCCAUUGCAAGUAAUAGUUGUUAAUAUGGUGGCCUGAGUAAAAUAACAGACCUAGUGUUUCUUGCUUCAGCACUUAAGGUAAUUAGAGACAUGCUGAAAUCAUCCCAGGCAAUUAUAUCUUUAGAUAGGACUGCACAAUUAUAUUUUUGGAAGCAUUGUGCUUCUCUGGCAUGAUGAUAAUCAGGUAAAAACACUACUCAUUGAACUACUCUGCAGGGCCUACAAGACCUGCUCCAUGGCUUUCAAUAGAAAUAGUACAUCUGUAUAUAUGCAUUGUUCUGUGCAUAUAGGUCUGAUGCAUUCACCAGAAAUUCAUGAGCAUGUACCCUCAUUAGUAACACUGCCAUAUCUGCAAACACCUUUGGAUCAGUUUGGAGUAGGAUAGGUGCAAUGAAGUACGUGUUGUAUUUUUUGUUCACUGUGGAUUUCUCCCUUCCCCUGUUCUGCAUACUGGACCAAACUUUCUGUUUUGGAAAUGCAGGCUGCUGAAAAUACGCAUGAAGUGUGACAUAAUUUUGUCCAUGAAAUCUAGUUGAUACUGUUUAGUUAAUACUGUUUAUUUAGUAUUGAUGUAACCCCAGUAUGGAGUACCAUUUUUAGAUGUCUUCCAAAAGUCCAUAAUAAGUUUAUCAGUCUUUCUUCCCCCCUUUCUGUAUGUUUGUCUUCUAGCUUUUUAAAAUGUCUGACCUUUUUGCUGCUGUUUUGCUCACUCUCUUCCAUCCAAGAGGUGUAUAUCUUCUUUGAAAAGCUUACCUCUGCUUUUCUCAGAUCUAUACGUUGCAUAGUUUCUUAAAGGUACAUAGCAGUUUCCCCCAUGUGAUAACUAUAGAUUUGUGAGCCCAUUUCACCCAGGAUAGCACCUUUAAAGGAGGGAAAAAUGAAAGAGGCGUUUUCACUACACAAUGAUAUAUAUAUGAAUAGAAGAUGUCAUUGUCUAUACAAAGCAGGAAUUGUUUUAAUUAGAAUACUUUUGAAUUUUUUUCUAAUGUCUAACUUAUUGAGACAUGGAAUUCAUGGCUGCUUUUGAACCACAGUUCCCUAGCAAGAUGUCUGAAGAAUCUGAGUCAUUGGCAACCAUGGAGACCUAAUGCAUAUUUAGGCCCUUAUCAAGACUAUAUAUAUUUAGCAUUGAAAAACUAUCAAUAAAACUGGCCUUUAUACUUUUUAAUAAAGAAUAGACUAAAUUUGAUUAUAUUACUAACAUUACUUAUGCUACUCAGUCAUUACAUUGAGUAGAGCAUUGGUUCUCAGUAUUUCAGCAGCAGUCUUCAGUAAUACAGUUGUGCAGGGGGUGUUUUUUACCUUAGAAACUGAUUUCAGGAUGUGUUUCCAGGUUUUAAUGUCUUACCUUGGAAGUUACUGAUGUUGAGGGAAGUGUUACUAUUUGUAUUUCUGUGUGUCCAGUUCUGCACAUUUACUGAGAACUAGGUGUUGUUGAGCGCAGUGGAGUUUCUUUCUCCAGUAAAUGUGCAUAGGAUUACAGUCUUAGAGUAAGUAUAUUUUGCACAACACGGAAGUGACUUCUAUUGAUCUCUUGUACAAAGAUGAAUGACAUAAAAUGCUUUUCUAUUAAAUCACAAGGUUAUUAAAAUUGGAUUUAAAACUUAAA